rnacentral:lncRNA from 1 species
GGGAAGGUGACCAUUGGAGGGGAACGGCUAUUUAAUUAGCAGUUGGAAAAGUAGGAAUUGGUAGGGGAAAACGCGUUUUCAAGUGACUAGGCAAACAGGUGUCCAGCUAGAAGUGUUUUUUUUUUUUUUGCAUUUCACUUGAAAACUCAUUUACGUGGAAGUGUUUUCUUAAAAUCGGUCUAUUUUUGUAAGUCUUCCAAACACGGCC